rnacentral:rRNA from 1 species
UACAGAGGUCUCAAGCGUUGUUCGGAUUCAUUGGGCGUAAAGGGUGCGUAGGCGGCGCGGUAAGUCGGGUGUGAAAUCUUGGAGCUUAACUCCGAAACUGCAUUCGAUACUGCCGUGCUUGAGGACUGGAGAGGAGACUGGAAUUUACGGUGUAGCGGUGAAAUGCGUAGAUAUCGUAAGGAAGACCAGUGGCGAAGGCGGGUCUCUGGACAGUUCCUGACGCUGAGGCACGGAAGGCCCAGGGGGAGCAAAACGGG